rnacentral:rRNA from 1 species
AGAGUUUGAUCCUGGCUCAGGACGAACGCUGCGGCGUGCCUAAGAAAUGCAAGUCGAACGGGGGCUUCGGCCCCAGUGGCGAACGGUCGCGUAACACGUAAGCAACCUGCCCUGAAGUGGGGGACAACAUUCCGAAAGGGGUGCUAAUACCGCAUGUGGUCACGAGUCGGCAUCGACUUGUGUCUAAAGAUUUAUCGCUUCAGGAUGGGCUUGCGGCCUAUCAGGUAGUUGGUGGGGUAAUGGCCUACCAAGCCGACGACGGGUAGCUGGUCUGAGAGGACGAUCAGCCGGAUUGGGACUGAGAUACGGCCCAGACUCCUACGGGGGGCAGCAAUUAGGAAUCUUGCGCAAUGGGGGAAACCCUGACGCAGCGACGUCGCGUAAAGGAUGAAGGCCCUCGGGUCGUAAACUUCUUUUGAGUGGGAAGAAAUUUGACGGUACCACUCGAAUAAGCCCCGGCUAACUACGUGCCAGCAGCCGCGGUAAUACGUAGGGGGCGAGCGUUGUCCGAAGUUACUGGGCGUAAAGCGCGCGUAGGCGGUUAUUUAAGUCUGGGGUGAAAGGUUCAGCGCUCAACGUGAACAGUGCCUUGGAUACUGGAUGACUUGAGUCUGGGAGGGGGAAGGGGAUUCC